rnacentral:snoRNA from 1 species
CUGAGGGACAGUGAACUGGCCCCCUGUUUAAAAAGUUUGAGAGGGCCUGACUCUGCCACAUAUAUUCUAUAGGAGCUGGGAAAGGCUUGAUGACAAAGAGAUUUCUCUCUAGCCUUUCCCGCAUCAGAGAUUGGCUCCCACAUGG